ACAUGCAGUCGAGCGAACAGAAGGGAGCUUGCUCCCGGAUGUUAGCGGCGGACGGGUGAGUAACACGUGGGUAACCUGCCUGUAAGACUGGGAUAACUCCGGGAAACCGGAGCUAAUACCGGAUAGUUCCUUGAACCGCAUGGUUCAAGGAUGAAAGACGGUUUCGGCUGUCACUUACAGAUGGACCCGCGGCGCAUUAGCUAGUUGGUGGGGUAAUGGCUCACCAAGGCGACGAUGCGUAGCCGACCUGAGAGGGUGAUCGGCCACACUGGGACUGAGACACGGCCCAGACUCCUACGGGAGGCAGCAGUAGGGAAUCUUCCGCAAUGGACGAAAGUCUGACGGAGCAACGCCGCGUGAGUGAUGAAGGUUUUCGGAUCGUAAAGCUCUGUUGUUAGGGAAGAACAAGUGCGAGAGUAACUGCUCGCACCUUGACGGUACCUAACCAGAAAGCCACGGCUAACUACGUGCCAGCAGCCGCGGUAAUACGUAGGUGGCAAGCGUUGUCCGGAAUUAUUGGGCGUAAAGGGCUCGCAGGCGGUUUCUUAAGUCUGAUGUGAAAGCCCCCGGCUCAACCGGGGAGGGUCAUUGGAAACUGGGAAACUUGAGUGCAGAAGAGGAGAGUGGAAUUCCACGUGUAGCGGUGAAAUGCGUAGAGAUGUGGAGGAACACCAGUGGCGAA
rnacentral:rRNA from 1 species